GGGUGUAGUCAGUCUUGGUCUGUGAAAAUUGAGGUUCAGCUGAACUACAGUGGCCUGUAGUUGUCAGAAGAGAGCAAAGGCAUGUGCCUGAACAGAUGCUGUUUGCUGUUGGAGCAGCAGUGCAACCAAGAAGCCUGGUAUUUUGUAACCUGAUGAAACCAUCAUUCCAAGCCUCCCAGGGCUAUUUGGAAGGCAGCUGGAAUAAACUAUGACCCAAUGCCUCUCUCUCUAUCUGCGUAAACACUGGAGAUCUUGAAGGCUUGGCUGUCCCCUCACUACUUGCUUGUAGUCACCGAGAUCCAAUGUUGUCUUGAACUACAUUCACAGCGAAGAAGAACUUUGAGUAUAAUCUCUGAUGAGGAGCGUGUCAUACUUUGGGGAGGACGGGAUACAGAGAGCUGAUUCGGAAACCGGAGAACUGGGAGAUGCACUUCCAGAAUCGAUGGAGUCUCUAAAAGGAGAAGGAGGAGUUAAAGCUACCAACUCCUCGAGGUCUUGCUUGGCUGAUGGGGUGUCUGAAGUGCCUUCUUUGACGCUGCCAUUUGAAGGUUUCCUAGCUGACUGCGAAGCGCCAUUGACUUCAAUGGCAGGAAGCGGCUGGAUCUCUGCAAACGUGGUCAUUGUUGUAGGGAGCUGGAUUUCCCGUGGGAUCAGGUAUGAAGAGCAGAGAGGAGUGGCCACCAUUGUCCCUGGAGUGGCUGUUGAAAGCAUCAUAGAGUUCAGCUCGCUGAUGUUGGCUGUAAAGCGAGUAACCACACUACUGAUCUGCUCCAUGAGGGAGCCUUGAGAGGAGCUACUUCGCUGAGGAGGCUCUGACUGGAAGGUCUGCCACUACCCUUUGAUGAUGGGAAACAUCAGGAUGAAGAGUGGACAAUGACGCCUCUUGGACUGUGAGUUCUGCUUCCUGCUGCACAAAGCUUGAAGAUGCUUUCGACAUUGCUUAGUGAACAAGGUUUUUUUUUCAUUUUUUUCAUUGAUAAUUUGUGAAAGGUAUGAAACGGAAGCUGGGAAAAUACAAAUCAUCAGCUUACCCAACCCUGAAAUGAGAAGCACAAGCAGUGCACCAGAAAAGAAAAAAAAACCCCAAAACAAAACAAAAGAAAGAUGUAACUCCCCAGUUGUAUCUUGAGAGUCAAGGGCUGGUUUGAAUUCUAUUCCCUGCAAAAAGCAUACAAUUGGAGGAAUUUCAGGUGUUUGGCAUAUCUGAUAAAUAAUUACAGUGGUAUUUAUGCGCAUGGGACUUACCAUCAGAAAAAUUACUCUUGUGAAUUAUUAAGCAGUUUCUAAUUUGUUGCAUUUAAUAAAAUCAGAAAUGCAAAUAUGAUGCAAGAAAUGCAAAAAAACCAGAUGUUGUGAUGCCUGCUUUGUGAAAGCCCAUAAAAUAUUCUAUUCCAUAAUUGAUUUUGUCAGAUAUAUGUGCAUGAUGCUCACAGGUGAUGCAGGAUGUAGUAUCUUCUCUUAAUCAGAAAUAACCUUACAAAGCAUCAGACAGAGUACCUAUUACACCUAUUUUUAUGUCACUUUUCAACUUGAAAAAUCUCAAGCCAUUUGUACGACUAAUAUACAAUGAUAGUUAGGCCCUGAUGUGAAAAAUAUCUACACCAGGGUUGGAAUGCAAGAAUAAUAUUGCAUGAGGGAUUUGAGAACAUGAGCUGAACAAUACUGCCCAGCGUGAAAUUGCACAGCAUUUUUUUGACUGAACAGAUGUAAGUGGGAUUUGGUCAGUGUCACGGGACCUCUUCGCCCCGUGAGAUGAUGAGAUAUUUUCAUUACUCACGAACGGUCAGACCCCUGCUUCUGUCUUUUUCCAUCUGCAUUUCAUCCCAGUGACUUCUAGCACUGGCCUGAUACUUACUGAGACAGGAGAAUAGCACCUACUUUCCUUCCUGCAACAUCUAUAUUCUCUCUGGGAGGUUCCCAGGCUAUUCAGUGGCAACUCUACUUAGGCCGUGAAACUUGACAAGGACCACUGGCCAGGACACUGUGGCUGGAGACAACAAAACACAGCCAUCAAAUGCAAUUGCACUCUCUGUUAAGCAGCAGGCGUUCUUAACUGUUUGAGUAGGUCUUGCAGCUGACAGUCUUGCUGUGGAACUAUUAGACUGACACAGUUUCCAGUCUUUUUGACUGUUAGGGCAUCCUCUUUAACAGGAACCUUUUUCUCCUCUCUACUUGACUCAGAUCGAUUACAGUCUGGAAUGCAAACAGAUUCUUCACUGUGAAGAUAUAAAAUAUAAAAGAGAAGUUUUUCAAGUGUAUAUAUAUGGCCAGGCAAAACAGAGCUGAAUACCGUACAACAAAAUACAGUUGUUUGACAUUUACAUGUAUUUUACUUCUCUUCAAAAUUCCCUUAUAUAGUGACUCCAGAAUGCUUUUAAAUGAAGAAUAAAUAUCACUGAAGGCAAUGCAAUGUAGGAAAAAAAAAAUUCAGACAACACGCAGACAAGAAACAGAAUCCCAGCUGACAAAAAAUAACAGGCAUGUAUACAUUUUGUACAACACUCAGCGGUGAAUGUUCGUGAUGUUACUUAAACAGCAGGGGUCCCCCAGGUGUGUGCUAUGUGGCGUUAUAGUUGAUAGCCUUAUAUACACGAGUGAAUGUUCUUGUACCCAAGGGGAACAUAACACUGCGCAAGUGUUUCACUGAACACCCUCCUGCAAUGAUAAAAUUCACCUGUGAUGUAACACUUGGGAAAAGUAAAGGCAUAAUCUGGUGAUGCUGUUCUCUAAAACUGCAUUUAUAAAUGCCUUACAGGGUUUGAUAAGGAAUAAGUAGAUCUUUUAAUACAUAGUAAACAAAAUGCUUCUAUCUUGUAGUAGAAUGUAACACGAUACAAUGCUUAUUAAGAGUAUUGUUUUAUGAAAGAUUUAUAAACACCUGUGACACA